rnacentral:rRNA from 1 species
UACGUAGGAGACGAGCGUUGUCCGGAGUUACUGGGCGUAAAGGGUGCGCAGGCGGCCCUGCGCGUCGCGAGUGAAAUCUCCCGGCUCAACUGGGAGGGUGCGCCGAAUACUGAAUGACUAGAGUGCGGGAGAGGAAAGUGGAAUUCCUGGUGUAGCGGUGAAAUGCGUAGAUAUCAGGAGGAACACCGGUGGUGUAGACAGCUUUCUGGACCGUAACUGACGCUGAGACACGAAAGCGUGGGUAGCAAACAGG